AAAGUCGUAACAAGGUUUCCGUAGGUGAACCUGCGGAAGGAUCAUUAAAAACGAUCACCGGUGUAUUCCAGCGACGUCGUUUACUCGACCUUGUGGGGCUGUCUUAAACUCACAGCGUUGCCAGCCGCGCGGAAUACUGAUGCCCUAGCCUUCGGGCUAGGGGCCGAGUGAAUCCCACCCGUGUCUACAUACUCUUGUUGCUUUGGCGGGCCGUGGCCUCCACUGUGGGCUCUGCCUGCAUGUGCCCGCCAGAGGAUCCAACUCUGAAUUUUAGUGAUGUCUGAGUACUAUAUAAUAGUUAAAACUUUCAACAACGGAUCUCUUGGUUCUG
rnacentral:misc_RNA from 1 species